GGCGGACGGGUGAGUAACACGUGGGAAUCUGCCUUUAGAUGGGGGAUAGCAGGCCGAAAGGCCUAUUAAUACCGCAUAUGCCGAAAGGUGAAAGGAGCAAUCUGUCUGAAGAUGAGCCCGCGUCCGAUUAGCUAGUUGGUAAGGUAAAGGCUUACCAAGGCUGUGAUCGGUAGCUGGUCUGAGAGGAUGAUCAGCCACAAUGGGACUGAGACACGGCCCAUACUCCUACGGGAGGCAGCAGUGGGGAAUUUUACGCAAUGGGCGAAAGCCUGACGUAGCGACACCGCGUGAACGAAGAAGCCUUUUGGGGUGUAAAGUUCUGUCGGCAGGGACGAAAAAAAUGACGGUACCUGCAAAGGAAGCAUCGGCUAACUACGUGCCAGCAGCCGCGGUAAGACGUAGGGUGCGAGCGUUAAUCGGAUUUACUGGGCGUAAAGCGUGCGUAGGUGGCGAUUUAAGUCGGAUGUGAAAGCCCUGGGCUUAACCUGGGAACGGCAUUCGAUACUGGAUGGCUAGAGAUCGGUAGAGGGCAGCGGAAUUCCGGGUGUAGCGGUGAAAUGCGUAGAUAUCCGGAGGAACACCGAUGGCGAAGGCAACUGCCUGGGCCUGAUCUGACACUGAGGCACGAAAGCGUGGGUAGCAAACAGGAUUAGAUACCCUGGUAGUCCACGCUGUAAACGAUGAGAACUUGACGUCUGCUUGCUAUGCGAGUAGGUGUCGUAGCUAACGCGAUAAGUUCUCCGCCUGGGGAGUACGGCCGCAAGGUUGAAACUCAAAGGAAUUGACGGGGGCCCGCACAAGCGGUGGAGUAUGUGGUUUAAUUCGAUGCAACGCGAAGAACCUUACCUGGUCUUGACAUGUCUGGAAGUCUGCAGAGAUGCGGAUGUGCCUUCGGGAACCAGACACAGGUGCUGCAUGGCUGUCGUCAGCUCGUGUCGUGAAGAUGUUGGGUUAAGUCCCGCAACGAGCGCACCCUUGCCCUUAGUGCCAUCAUGAGUGGGCACUCUAAGG
rnacentral:rRNA from 1 species